AACGUGACCUAAACUUACUGUGAGAGGCAAAUACUAAGAUGGAAUCUAUGAUCUCUAUCUCUGAUGUCCUCCACCCCUAUACUCAUCUCCUUUCAAGUGUGGCUGGGACAAACUUCUAGCCAAUAGAACAUAGCAGAGGUGAAAGAAUUUUGCAGAUGCAGUGUAGGUUCCGAGUCAGUUGAUUUUGAACUAAUCAAAAAGGAGGUCAUUUUGGUUGGGCCUGACUUAAUUAGUUGAAAACCCUUAAAAGACUAACCUAGCCGUCCCCAAUGAGAAGGACUCUCUCUCCUUCCAACCAGAGGGAUCUUGGAAGACGAUCUUUCCCUCGCUGAUCCUCUGAAUGAGAAUGCAAUCUAACAAGUAGAUUUCAGCUUCAUGAGAUCCUGAACAGAGGACCCAGGAAAACUUGAACCAGGGGGUAAACUGAGAUAGAGUUGGCCAGAGCCGGAAAUUAUAACAAGCUGUGAACAAUCAUUGAAGCUUCCUGAAGGUACUAGAGUGGUCUUUGCUUAGAGCUGAGAGCUGGUGAAGAAAGGAGGCUUGGAAGAUGAGACUAUUGGCAAGAGAAUGGAUGAAUUGAUGAGUAGCAUGAUCUAGCUAGAUGGAAUAAGAAGCAAAGAGACUUUUCCUGCCCCCUAACACCUGAUGCUGCCGUCCGCACCUGACUCAGUCAAACCAUUAUGGUCUACCUUCAAGAUGGGGCAAUCAGAUUCACAUGCUGCCUGGGAAUUUUGAUCAUAAACUGAGAGCUACCCACUGCAAUCUCGGGAGAGAUGAGGCAACUUGAUGACAAUACCUCGUUAUAACAUCGAGGAAUUCCUUGUCCCUGGAGCUGUUCUGGCAUUGCCCUUGCAGAAGCUUUGCCACCCUGCUCUUUCAUUGCCUUUGAGUACCAUGCUACCUUCUCAUAAAUCUCCUUUGUACUUAAGUAGGCCAAGGUCCAUUGCUUUCUAUUGCAUGUACCCAAAAUAACAUUAACAGAUACAAUAAGCUUGUUAGUGCUACACAGAGAGCUGUUCUUUGCCCAAGGACAGCACAUUUCAAUUUAGCCAGGUAUUUUUUAAAAAUCUGUGCCAGGAAGCAAAGUUGAAUCUGGACCAAAAAAAUAUACAUGAAUCAGUGAAAGUCCAUUAUCUGUUAUGGAAAAGCAAAAGAACACAUACAAAUGACUCUAACAGUGGAUUAUAACAUAAAAGCAUCCUUUUGUAUGUUAUGUAUAUGAGUUUUGAUUAUAAAGAGUUAUGCCUCAAUUCUUAAAUGUGUCGCAGAAGUGAUUUCAUUGCUAGUUAUAUCAUAUGUUUACCAUUUAUGAACAAAAUCUUUAUACGCUGCACAUCUGUGAGAAUUCCUUUUUUGUACGAUUUACCAAGAAAAAAAUGAAGGGAGAUAAAAUUAAUCCAUCUCUUACAUGUACUCCAGUUCACUCUAUAAAAUAAAAUGAAGGUGGUUGAAGAAGGCAAUUAUAAGAUUUCGUUUUCUCGCUAAGAAGCUCAAAGUACUUAUCUGUCGUUAUUCAAUUGAUUUUGUAGGAUCCCCUUGAGAGUUGUGGAAUACAGUUAUUUUAUAACCAGAGAAAUUAAUGCAGAAACACCACAUGCUGUGUUAACUGUAAGAGCAGGAUUAGGAAUCAUAUCCUCUGAGUUUAUAAAUUAUCAUUAGCCCAUUAAAUUAUGUGGAGUUCGUCCCAGUGCUGUACACUUUCUUCUUCCUAACUGUGCUUCCAAUGUAGCAAUGAACUAAAUGGCCAACCAUUUUAUGAACCUUCUGGUUUAAGGUAAAAGAAAUCAUUUAGUGUCAAUUAACUUCGUUCAUGGAUCGACCCCUGUCUUUACAAUUCCCUAUGAGAGCGGGUGGGUCACUGUUAAAAUGUCACAUGCAUAAUGACAGGCAAACCAUUUUAGAAGUUAGUCACUUUUUUUGGUCUUCUAUUAAACGUCUUGGCCUGGUAGUCUGUGUAUAUCUAUCAUAUCUUUCAAUGGCAUCUGCCUUUAAUUUUCCACAUUUACCAUCCACUCAGCCACACUGUUUUAUUUCCCAUGAGGUGAACAUUAUUAUCUUUUCCCACUUCCUUUCUUUACAUUUCUUAUUUUUUUCUGACUCAUGCUGUUUCUCCUGACAUAAUGACAUCUCCUUCUGCUGACUUGACCUAAAUCCUGUGUAUCCGACCUUCUCCAUAGGGUCUUCCCUGGAACUUCAAACUAAGCCAUUCCUCUCACUUGUAAAUUCAGGUCAGACUUGUCUCUCUGCUGUUAAGGGUGUUAGUACUGUUUACUUAACUUCUUCCUCAUCCCUUGAACAUGUAUUUAACCCUCAUUUUGUUACUUCCUGUACUGACAUCUCUUCUUCCCAAGGAGAUUAAAAUCUUCCCAGGACAGGAACAGUGACUUACCUGAUUCUAGCUCAGAUAACAUCCAGUGCAGUAUUUUGCAUUUACCAGGUAUUUAAAAAUGCACAGUGUGGAGUCUUGAUUAAUUUACUUAGCAUGCUUCAGCAAAUCUGAUGCUUUGGAAAGCAGAGGAAAUUUUAAAAUGCUUAAUUUGUACCUAUUAAUAAUAUAAAGGGGGACAAUUAAAUACUUCUAUAUUUAUAAAAUGAAGAAUGGUUCAUAAAAAUAUGAUUUUAGUUUGUAACGUCCUUACACUGAAUACUAUUCCAUUAGACAGCAAUUUAGUUUUCAUAUAGUGAGUUAAAUAGCACAAUCACUAGAAACUCCUUCAGAUUAAUAUUAAUCUUGAUUGUCUCGUAGUCUAAAGGAAGAUACCAUUUUUGUUUAUUGGGCAUUUUAUUCUGUUGUCUAUGCGGGCAGUCAUUGGCCUCUGUGUAAACAGCCAAGGGUUCUCCCCAAGCCUACUUUAAACCAUUAUUCUCUACCUGCUGUUUUGACCCACCCAUCCACAAUUGUUAUAACCUAUGCCUCGCCUAUUGUGUGGUAGAGAGCUGGUCAAGUUCAUGGUUUUUAGCCUUUGUAUACAAUGCUUAUUCCAGAGCACCCUAGACCACCUCGUUUCUCUGAGCUCCUUCUGCAUCUCACUCUAUUUCUUUACUCAAAAACAUAAACAUUCAGUUAAAUAAAUCUCUCUUGAGUUCUUAUUAGCAGCAGGGUACUGGACUAGCUGUUGCUAAUGAAUCUACUGCUGUGUCAAAAUAUUUAAAGAUUACAUUUUGAAAUGUAAUCUUUGAUCAAGCUACUCCACCCUAAGAUUUUAUCCUGAGGAAAUAAUCAGAAUUAGGCAAUAACAUUCAUGUACAGAGAUGUUCAUAAUAGCAUUAUUUGAAAUGUCAAAAUAUUUAAAACCAAAGCAAGAAAAUACUGCAUUUUCAUAAGCAGGAAACAACUUAUAAACAUCAAAGAACAUCGGAAAAGGAUAUUUUAUGACAAGAUAAAUGGGUACCACAUAUUGUGAUAUAGCAUGAUUUAUUAAAUCAUUUACUAUCACAUGCAAUAUGUCACACAUAAGUCAAGGCACUAGUUACAUGGCCAUAAAAAAGUAAAGAAGCACCUGCCCAGGUGAAGCUUACAUUCUCAUGAUGAAACAGAGACUAAAAGAUAAGAAAAUAACUACAUCGUAAAUAUCAGGCAGUGACAAAUAGAAUAAGGGGGAGCCUGACUCAGGAACUAUUUUUCAUGAUAGUCAAGUAAGAUAAAAUCAGUCAAGUGAAUACCUGAAAAAGAGUAUUUCACACAAAGCAAAUCUUAAAGAUUUGAUAUUA
rnacentral:lncRNA from 1 species